UACAGAGGGGGCAAGCGUUGUUCGGAAUUACUGGGCGUAAAGGGCGCGUAGGCGGCCUUCUAAGUCAUGCGUGAAAUCCCCGGGCUCAACCCGGGAACUGCGUCUGAUACUGGAAGGCUUGAAUCCGGGAGAGGGAUGUGGAAUUCCAGGUGUAGCGGUGAAAUGCGUAGAUAUCUGGAGGAACACCGGUGGCGAAGGCGGCAUCCUGGACCGGUAUUGACGCUGAGGCGCGAAAGCCAGGGGAGCAAACAGG
rnacentral:rRNA from 1 species